GGUGGAGCUCAAUGGUAUAGCAUGUGCUUAAUAUGCACAAAGCCCUGGGUUUAAUGCCUAGCACC
rfam:Heterocephalus glaber contig134903, whole genome shotgun sequence.